UUUAGAGGAAGUAAAAGUCGUAACAAGGUCUCCGUUGGUGAACCAGCGGAGGGAUCAUU
rnacentral:rRNA from 2 species